rnacentral:rRNA from 1 species
AGCGAACGCUGGCGGCAGGCUUAACACAUGCAAGUCGAGCGGGCAUCUUCGGAUGUCAGCGGCAGACGGGUGAGUAACACGUGGGAACGUACCCUUCGGUUCGGAACAACUCUGGGAAACUGGAGCUAACACCGGAUACGCCCUUAUGGGGAAAGGUUUACUGCCGAAGGAUCGGCCCGCGUCUGAUUAGCUAGUUGGUGGGGUAACGGCCUACCAAGGCGACGAUCAGUAGCUGGUCUGAGAGGAUGAUCAGCCACACUGGGACUGAGACACGGCCCAGACUCCUACGGGAGGCAGCAGUGGGGAAUAUUGGACAAUGGGCGCAAGCCUGAUCCAGCCAUGCCGCGUGAGUGAUGAAGGCCUUAGGGUUGUAAAGCUCUUUUGUCCGGGACGAUAAUGACGGUACCGGAAGAAUAAGCCCCGGCUAACUUCGUG